CCCAGACUCCUACGGGAGGCAGCAGUGGGGGAUAUUGCACAAUGGGGGGAACCCUGAUGCAGCGACGCCGCGUGGGUGAAGGAGCGUUUCGGCGCGUAAAGCCCUAUCGGCAGGGAAGAAGGAGGACGGUACCUGACUAAGAAGCCCCGGCUAACUACGUGUCAGCAGCCGCGGUAAUACGUAGGGGGCAAGCGUUAUCCGGAUUUACUGGGUGUAAAGGGGGCGCAGACGGCAGCGCAAGCCAGGAGUGAAAGCCCGGGGCCCAACCCCGGGACUGCUCUUGGAACUGCGCGGCUGGAGUGCAGGAGGGGCAGGCGGAAUUCCUGGUGUAGCGGUGAAAUGCGUAGAUAUCAGGAGGAACACCGGUGGCGAAGGCGGCCUGCUGGACUGCGACUGACGUUGAGGCCCGAAAGCGUGGGGAGCAAACAGGAUUAGAUACCCCGGUA
rnacentral:rRNA from 1 species